rnacentral:rRNA from 1 species
AACGCGAAGAACCUUACCUGGGCUCGAAAUGUACAGGAAUGCGGUAGAAAUAUCGCCGUCCAGCAAUGGACCUGUAUAUAGGUGCUGCAUGGCUGUCGUCAGCUCGUGUCGUGAGAUGUUGGGUUAAGUCCCGCAACGAGCGCAACCCUUAUUACCAGUUGCUACCAUUUAGUUGAGCACUCUAGUGAAACCGCCCCGGAUAACGGGGAGGAAGGUGGGGAUGACGUCAAGUCCUCAUGGCCUUUAUGUCCAGGGCUACACACGUGCUACAAUGGUCGGUACAAACCGUCGCAAAGCUGCAAAGUGGAGCUAAUCGGAAAAAGCCGGCCUCAGUUCGGAUUGGAGUCUGCAACUCGACUCCAUGAAGCUGGAAUCGCUAGUAAUCGCAGAUCAGAACGCUGCGGUGAAUACGUUCCCGGGCCUUGUACACACCGAGACGAC